rnacentral:rRNA from 1 species
UACGUAGGGUGCAAGCGUUGUCCGGAAUUACUGGGCGUAAAGGGCUCGUAGGCGGUCCAUCGCGUCGGGAGUGAAAAGCUGGGGCUUAACCCCAGUCCUGCUUCCGAUACGGGUGGACUAGAGGUAGGUAGGGGAGAGCGGAAUUCCUGGUGUAGCGGUGAAAUGCGCAGAUAUCAGGAGGAACACCGGUGGCGAAGGCGGGUCUCUGGGCAGUAACUGACGCUGAGGAGCGAAAGCGUGGGGAGCGAACAGG